GCCAGAGUGGAGAACAGUUUCAAAGUUCUCCCAGAUGUUGGGCCUUGGGGGUGGAGGGAGCCUGAGGCCAAGAAGGCCUGGGGUUGGGAGAAGCCCCUGCAGCUCUCUGGCCUCUGGGCCAUAAAGAAUGUGCAAUCAGGAGGAAACGGCUCCACUGUGGAGCUAUUUAGGCCCGGCUGCAUUUCAAAGACCUUGUUUCCACUUCAUUCCCAAACUUAUUUUUCUGAACAAGUACUAUUGAUCAGCUGGAAUGUUGGACUUCUCUUUGGGGUUGCCUAAGGCUGGCCCCCUCCAGGAGGGCCUUUGACUAGAAACAGCCCUCUGACUUGAUGGACUCCUUCCUCGGGUCUCCAGGAAGUCCUCCCUCCCCUCCCACCUCCAUCCUCAGUGGCGCCCUCCUCAGCCACAAACUCAGCUAGGACCUUGGCCACAGACCACACUCCACUCUCUCUUCACCUAAACCGCUAGGCCCACCAAGAGCGUGGCAAUCACAGGAUACCUGCAUCUGGAUAAAUAAAUCUCUCUCCUCCUCCAGGAAGCCUUCCUAGAUGGCCCCAGGCUUGAAUGAUUUCCUCUGGCUCCAGGCUUUUUUCAUGACUUUGCACACAUACUCCGUUGUCCUGAGCACAUCCUUAGAAGCUGGGAUCACGGGAGGCAAGGCUUACUGCUGUCUCUUUUCCUGGACCAGAUCACACAUGUUGUUGUUUUGUUUUGGACAUGGUGUCAUGUAGCCCAGGCUGGCCUCACAUUCACUAUGUAACCCGGGCUGGCCUUGACUGUCUGCCUGUCUCAGCUUCACAGGUGCUGGGACUGAAGUCAUUUUAGAAUCAGCUGUACUCACCUGGGUGUGGUUUUUCCCCCCCGGGGCACAUUGGCAAUGUCUGUUGAUAAU